rnacentral:tRNA from 1 species
GUUAUGCUAGUUUAUCCAGAACACCUAACUUGCACUUAGGAAAAGGGGCCAAACUGCCCCGCUGAACA